UGGGGUCAUGGUAUAAUUGGGAACACUUCUGCUUUGCACGCAGAGAUCCGGGGUUCGAGUCCCCGUGCUCCACC
rnacentral:tRNA from 1 species